CUUUGUAAGAUGAACGCGGACAAGUUGAUUGUGUCUGAUCUUUUUUUAUAACGGGGUUGUCAGGUCACACUACAUACUAUAUAUGUUUAUGCAAGCUCGACAUGAUUUUUUCUGGACCAUUUACAAUUAGACAAUUUUUCUGUUUUAAAAUUCAAUUUGGUACAUUCAAUCAUUCGAGAAAUCAAUUUAUCACCGAAGGAUACGUGAACAAAUUGAACGAACGAGAUUAAGAUAUGUAAAGGAUGUGUCAACAGAGGAGAACCAUUAAAGAGACGAAUGCUUCUGAAGUUUGUGCCAGACUGGGAACGUGACAGGGAAUUCUGCGACCGCUAAAUUGCUAAGACUCACAAUUUGGAAAUAAAAAUAAAAGAGAAAGUCUUUAAAUUGCUAUAAUAAAGAACUCUGUGAUGGAAGAAGCGAAGAGGAUCAGUGAGUGAAAUGUAUAAACGAGAUUUCGAAGACAAUUGAAAGAACUAUUCACCCGGUGCACCACAGUGUUGUGCGAAACACCUCCUUCGAAAUAUGUCGAAGAAUUUGUCUAGAACGUGCCACGAAAUUCAUCAACAAGAUAAUUAAUAGAAGAGGACCGCAG